rnacentral:rRNA from 1 species
GACGAACGCUGGCGGCGUGCUUAACACAUGCAAGUCGAACGGAAAGGCCUGCUUUCCCUUGUGGAUUGCGGGUACUCGAGUGGCGAACGGGUGCGUAACACGUGAGUGAUCUGCCCCCAACUUGGGUAUAAGCCCGGGAAACUGGGUCUAAUUCCCGAUAGGACUGCAGGGUGGUGCCUGUGGUGGCAAACGUUCUUCUAGUGGUUGGGGAUGAGCUCGCGGCCUAUCAGCUUGUUGGUGGGGUAAUGGCCUACCAAGGCGGCGACGGGUAGCCGGCCGGGGAGGGUGCACGGCCACAUUGGGACUGGGACACGGCCCAGACUGCUGCGGGAGGCAGCAGUUGGGAAUAAUGCACAAUGGGCGGAAGCCUGAUGCAGCGACGCCGCGUGGAGGAUGACGGCCUUCGGGUUGUAAGCUCCUUGCGACCGCGAGGAAGCCACCUGGUUGGAAGGGUGGUGACGGUAGUGGUAGAAGAAGCACCAGCUAACUACGUG